AUGUUUAUACAGUAGUAAAAUAGAAGUGUAGAAGACAAGAAGAAGUUCAGUCACAAAUAAACUUUCAUAGUGCUCACAUGUAAAUGAUCAACAGGUUAUGGACCCAGAAACGUUCUGCAUGCCGAAAGACCUCGAAUAUUUUUUUGUCGCCAUUGUGACGAGCGACACUUUACCGGACUUCGAGAGUCUUUGCAUAAAGUUGAAAGUAGAAGGCGAAAGAAGAGACUAGAAGAACAUAGGCGCACAGGCAUUGAUUGCUACUACGAGUCAGCAACGAAACAACGGUAAAAGAGAUAAGCCAAAAACGAAAUGCUAUAAAUGCGGCAAACAUAAAGAAAAAUUGUCGUAGCGGCAGCGCGGCAAUUGAGAAUGGAGACAAAACGGAACACAAGCAAUGCUCUUUGCUUGGCUCUCUGGACAUGGGUGGAUUUGAUCGUUUGAUGUGGUGUCUAGACAGUGGCGCUACCAGCAAGUUUAAUGGAAAUUUCGAAAAAGAAACUGGUGACUGGAAUGGAAAAAGUAGAUUUUUUAAACAUGGAGCCAUGUAAGACGUGUAUGAUGAGUAAAAUUCACGUGAAGCCAUUUCUACAUGAAUCUAAGAAUCGAGCGAAGGAGCUGUUGCAGCUAGUGCAUACCGAUGUAUGCGGUCCAUUUAGAACAAGUACGCUUGGUGGGUCGCAAUUUUUUCUGACAUUCAUCGACGACAAAUCUAGGUCCAUAUUUGUGUACUUUUUAAACGGAAGGAUGAGGUAUUCGAAAAGUUUGUUGUAUUCAGGUUGUUGAAUUCAUUCAAAGAGGAAAAAUGUUGAAGUGCAUUCGGAGUGACAACGGCACAGUGUACGUAAACAAGGCAUUUGAUGGAUGGAAUAAUACGGCUGCAUAUACAUAUACAUACAUGGUUGAGAUGUCAAGAUGCCUUCUGGUGCAGUCUGGACUUCUGUGAGGCAUUGUGGGCCGAGGCAAUUUACACAGCCGUGUACUUGCGCAACCGGUCACCCACAAGUGCGCUCGCAAACAUGACACCUAUGGAAGCUUGGUCGGGUAAGAAACCUGGUAUAAAUCAUCUAAAAGUCUUUUGUUCCAUUGCAGUGGCGUUAGACAAGGGCAAACUAAAAGGCCAAUUUAAACAGAAAGGAACAGAAUAUUGGCAUAUCGGCUGUAUGACUCAGAUAAGCGGAGUGUGAUUGAAAAGAGAGAUGUCCUUUUCAACGAGAGUGACAAUGUGUCUCGGCAAGCUAAUGCUGAAAUGGUGGUCUCCGACUGGCAGUUGGGUGAAAGUUAAAAUGAGUCGACAAUUAGCACAGGCCGUAUUCAUGCAGAAUAUGGGGGAGCUGAGAACAUCGUAAACGACGGUGAUGUGGACAGCGACGAGAAUGAUCAGAUUGACAGAGCUACCAAGGAUUCAGAUGAUGAGAGUGCAGAGGAAGCCGUGCCAAAUCCUGAAGCUGUACAGGUUGAACCUGGUAGGCCGAAACUAAUACACACGGGCAAACCUGGACGACCAAAAAUGCAGUACUAUUUACUUGGUGCUAUGGUUGCAAGAGACGUACCAAUUCCAUUGACGUACGCAGAGGCAAUAAAGUGCGAGUAUGCCUCCCAAUGGCGUGAAGCGAUGCAGUGUGAAUAUGAUGCUCUGGUAUCUAACAAGACAUGGCAGAUCGCAGAAUUGCCGAAUACCCAUAAGACGAUUGGGUGCAAGUGGGUAUACAAUAUGAAGUGUGAUGAUGAAGGCUGUAUUGAUCGAUUCAAGGCACGUCUAGUUGCCAAAGGUUGUUCGCAAAGGUAUGGUGUGAACUACAAGGAGACGUAGUCGCCGGUGUGCAGAUUGGAGAGCAUACGACUUGUUUUGGCGAUGGCGGCGGAAAUAAAUCUUUAUGUACACCAAAUGGAUGUAUGCACGGCAUACCUAAACAGCGACUUAUCAGAAACUGUAUAUAUACAACAACCAGAGGGAUAUACAGUAGGCACUAAACCUAGACAAGUAUUGUUUUUAAAGAAGGCCAUAUAUGGAUUGAAGCAAUCUGGAAGGGCAUGGAACAAUAAAAUGGACAAUGUGUUACGGUCAAUUGGUUUUUGUCCAAUGAGCAAUGAGCCCUGUCUAUAUAAAAUGAGUGACAAAGGUAACUUGGCAAUAAUAUUGGUUUAUGUUGACGAUUUCAUUAUAGCAAGCCAGAACAAAGAAGACCCCAUUAACAUAAAAGCAUCGAUCUUAAAUGCGUUUGAGUGUGUCGAUAAAGGCCCAUUAAAGCUAUUUCUGGGCAUGGAGAACGUGAUGGAGAACUUGGCCAGAUCACGUUGAGGCAAACUCAAUAUAUUCAAGAGCUAUUGCGGAAACAUUGCAUCGUCGAGUGUCGACCUGCAGCAACGCCUUUAGAUACAGGAUACCAAGUGGCAUGUGAUGGGCAAUGUACAAAGGUAGACGAGACGGCAUAUCAGUCAGUUAUUAAAGAGCUGAUGUGGUUGGCAUUGACGACUAGACCCGAUAUUUUGCACUCGAUGGCAAAAUUGGCACAGCGGAAAAAGGAUCCCCAUAGUGAGCAAAUGGCUAGGGUCAAAGACGUCUUGAGAUAUCUUUCGGCUACGGUGAACUACAAGCUACACUACAAGAAGUGUGUGCAGGCGUUGGUUGGCUACGUUGACGCUGACUGGGGCAGAGAUAAGAUCGACCGCAAAUCCUACACAGGCUAUGUUUUCUUCAUGGCUGGUGGUCCGAUAUCAUGGAAACCGAGGCAGAGUACAUGGCAUUGUCAACGGAGUGUAAAUAGCAAUUGCUAUGAGACGACUCAUAAUUGAACUGGGCUGCGGUGACGUCGAAACUCCAACCGUUGUUUACGGCGAUAACUUGAGCGCGCAACAAUUGGCAAAGAACCCUGUACAUCAUGCAAGGACCAAGCAUGUGGAUAUCCGUUAUCAUUUUGUUCGGGAGAUUGUAGAUCAAGGUCAAAUUGUUCUAAAGUAUGCUUUAACAGAAAUAAUGAUAGCAGAUAUACUAACAAAGAAUUUGUAUAAGAAAAAACAUGGUGGUUUUGUAAAAUUGUUACAUAUGAACUUACAAUUGUAGGAUGCUCGCAUUGAGGGAUGGUGUUAAAAAUCAACCCUAGUUCGAUAUUUCCUUAAAUUGCGGCUCUGGUAUGAACUGCAAUGCACGCAUCUUAUACAUACAUAUAUUUAAGUCUGUAUGUCUAUACAGUAGUAUAAAUAUAAGUGUAGAAGAAACUACAAUCUCUCAAAAUUGUAAAGAACAAAAUAGCUAUUAAAAAAUAAAAGGAAGCUAAAUUAUAAGACUAAACAAUGUAAAAUUAAGUUUUAAAAUUGGGGAGAAUAGAGAGAUUAAUGUAACCGAGAUAAAAAUGGCAAAACAUGAUAACUUUUUGAAAUUAAUUUAAGAAAAUAAUAAUAUACCUUAUAUAACUGAAAAAAAUUGUAAAUAUUGUUAGUUUUUCUCGACAUAUCAAAAAUUUGUACACUAAAUCCACUAACCUUCUUAAAUAAAAAAACUAGGAAACAAUAAAAAAAUAAGCAAGAGCCACAAGAAAAAAAUAUUCAAGAACCACUAGAAGAAAUAAAACAGGUACAAAACCAGUUGCCUGCAAUAUACCCUGUAAUUCCAGCCGAAGCGUAUGCAACCUUUAUAAGGGGAGGGAAGUGACAUAUUGAAGAAAUAAAUACAGUUUUCUUGAUUUUGAUCUCCCAAA